AAGGAAGGAAAGAAAAUAAAAUAAAAAAAGAAAAUAGCACUUGAACACAAAUUUAAUUUCCCCAGCAAGGCCAUUUUCUUACAAAGGGUACACUCACCAGCAGUUUUGCCAUGAGAGUCCACCGAACAAAGGAGACAGGGUCGUUUAUAACCUGACACGUCUACCCUACUGCUGUGUCUGGUUUCCAUUGGCUGGAACGGGACCUCACACUCUGUAUUUGUCCCGAUUGGCUAGCAACUUAGAACUUUUUAAAAGAGGCAAAGGCAGAGGAGAAGAAAGGAAAGAGGAAGUAACUUGUGGAAUGCUAAGAAAGCCUUGCUUUGGUAUCGGCACAUUUAAAGAAGUGGUUACCUCUUUCAGAAUUAAUGGAUUGGCUUCAGUUGGGAAAGCUGCGCUCACCUGUUGGUGAGCAUGAGGACAUCAACUGGAUGAAGUAUAUGGCUGAACCAAGUCUGAGGACAGGUGGGAAGAUUGUAUUUCCCUUCUCCUUGAGGUUAGACACAGUUACAUGGCUAGUUGAGCCAACAGAAGAGGAGCCGAAGUGAAAUAUGACACUUCCAAGUGAAAGACUAUAACUGCUGAUGCUUUUCUCUCAUCCCUGCCAAGAGCACAAUCACAGAGGUUCAUAUCCAUAUGAAGGCAGUAUCAGAGUGGAGGAGCUUGGAAUGCUGAGCAAACACACGGAGGAACGCUGCUGUGGUGCAUUACAUGGACUCCAGCAGGCUUCGCAUGAGUGACAAAUACACUUCAGUCAAGCCACUGAGAUUAGGCAGUUUGUCCUGCAGCACAGUCUAGCCUAUUUGGAUGUAUCUGAGUUUAGUCAUGGUAGCAUUAUGCAUCCUUGUAGCUGGGAGGGUCAAGUAACAGUUCUAGCAAACAAAAUAUAAAUUGAGGUGACUGGGCAAGUGAGCCUUCUAGGAAAAGCCUUUUAAAGAAACAAAUUCAGCUGGCAUGAGCAGUUUCUAUUUUUGUCCUUCAUUUUCUUGCCUGGAAUGUAGACAUGAUGGCUGGAACUGUAGGAGUUAUCUUGACAGCAUGAGGACUAGGGUCCCAUCCAAUGGUGCAGUGUGGACAGAGGAAAGGAGAUGGGACCCUGCUGACAUCAUGGAGCUGCCAUACUUUGGACUUCCCACAUCUGGGAUUCAUUUACGGGAGAGGAAAACAAACUUUUGUGUUGUUUAACCCACUGUUUUUCAAGUUUCUAUUCCUAACAGCCCAGUGCAAUUUUUAACUGUUAUGGAAGGUACAGAAGUAAUUUUAAUUCUUCCAGUAUUUAUACUAUUAGUUUUUCAUAUUUUUAUUGUGGAAACUUUCAAACAUAUCCAAAAAUACAGACAGUAGUCAUCAUCCAGCUUCAGCAAUGAUCAACUCAUAGCCAAUCAUGC
rnacentral:lncRNA from 10 species